rnacentral:tRNA from 1 species
AGUAAAAUGACUGAUAAUAAGUGAUAAAUUGUAAAUUUAUUUAUAAGAUUAAUUCUUUUUUACUA